rnacentral:sRNA from 1 species
AUCCCGGCGCUCGAGAGGACGCGGGGCUGCGCAAAUGGCUUGUCCCGCUCUCGGUCUGGAAGCUCUUCAGCCCCUGCAGCCCGAGCCGCCCCCCGAGCCCGCCUUCUCCGAGGCUCAGAAGUGGAUUGAGCAAGUAACUGGCAGAAGUUUUGGUGAUAAAGAUUUUCGGACAGGUUUAGAAAAUGGAAUCCUCCUCUGCGAGUUGCUGAAUGCUAUAAAGCCAGGACUUGUUAAAAAGAUCAAUAGAUUGCCUACCCCCAUUGCAGGACUGGACAAUAUUAUCUUAUUCUUGAGAGGUUGUAAAGAGCUUGGCCUUAAAGAAUCUCAACUUUUUGACCCGAGUGACCUCCAGGAUACAUCCAACAGAGUAACAGUCAAGUAAGUAAAACGUGAUUUAUGUUUAAGGAAAACUCCUUUAUAGUUUGAUUUGCAAUUUUGUGAUAAUGUUGUAAGUUCUAAGAGACAGAGAAUUG